GACGAACGCUGGCGGCGUGCUUAACACAUGCAAGUCGAACGGAAACGCCCUGCCUUGGUGGGGUGCUCGAGGGGCGAACGGGGGAGUUACACGUGAGUUACCUGCCCUUGACUUUGGGUUAACUUCAUGAAACUGGGUCUAAUACGGGAUAGGAUCUCCUGCUGCUGGGUGGGGGUUGGAAGGUUUCGGCGGUUGGGGAUGGACUCGCGUCCUAUCGGCUUGUUGGUGUGGUGGUGUCUUAGCAAGGCUUGGACGGGUAGCCGGCCUGGGCGGGUGACCGGCCACGUUGGGACUGGGCUGCGGCCCAGCCUCCUCCCGGAGGCAGCAGUGCAGUAUAGUGUACUAUGGGCGGAACCCUGGUGUAGCCCCGCCGCGUGGGGGAUGACGGCCUUCGCGUUGUGUUCCGCUUUCGCCUUUGCCGAAGCGUGAAUGACGGUACUGGGUAAAGAAGCACCGGCUAACUACGUG
rnacentral:rRNA from 1 species